rnacentral:tRNA from 1 species
AGCAUCGGCCGGGAAUCGAACCCGGGCCGCCCGGGUGGCAGGCGAGCAUUCUAUCACUGAACCACCGAUAGU